GGUUGCGAUCAUACCAGCACUAAUGCACCGGAUCCCAUCAGAACUGCGCAGUUAAGCGUGCUUGGGUGAGAGUAGUACUAGGAUGGGUGACCCCCUCGGAAGUCCUCGUGUUGCAACCCC
rnacentral:rRNA from 1 species